AUUGAACGCUGGCGGCAGGCCUAACACAUGCAAGUCGAACGGUAACAGGAAGAAGCUUGCUUCUUUGCUGACGAGUGGCGGACGGGUGAGUAAUGUCUGGGAAACUGCCUGAUGGAGGGGGAUAACUACUGGAAACGGUAGCUAAUACCGCAUAAUGUCGCAAGACCAAAGAGGGGGACCUUCGGGCCUCUUGCCAUCGGAUGUGCCCAGAUGGGAUUAGCUAGUAGGUGGGGUAACGGCUCACCUAGGCGACGAUCCCUAGCUGGUCUGAGAGGAUGACCAGCCACACUGGAACUGAGACACGGUCCAGACUCCUACGGGAGGCAGCAGUGGGGAAUAUUGCACAAUGGGCGCAAGCCUGAUGCAGCUAUGCCGCGUGUAUGAAGAAGGCCUUCGGGUUGUAAAGUACUUUCAGCGGGGAGGAAGGGAGUAAAGUUAAUACCUUUGCCCAUUGACGUUACCCGCAGAAGAAGCACCGGCUAACUCCGUG
rnacentral:rRNA from 1 species